AUUCUGCCCAUGCGGGGAAGGAUGAGAAGCUUCAACCAAGGUUCGACUUGAGCGCCAGCGAGAGAGCGUUGCCGCAGGCAACGACCCGAAGGGCGAAGCGCGCA
rnacentral:sRNA from 1 species